GGCUCUGUAGUGUAGCGGUUAUCACAGGAGAUUCUGAUGUUACACGAAUUCUCUUAACCCAGGUUCGAUUCCUGGCAGGGCCU